rnacentral:rRNA from 1 species
UACAGAGGUGGCAAGCGUUGUUCGGAAUUACUGGGCGUAAAGGGCGCGUAGGUGGCCAUCUAAGUCAGACGUGAAAUCCCCCGGCUUAACCUGGGAACUGCGUCUGAUACUGGACGGCUUGAGUAUGGGAGAGGAACGUAGAAUUCCAGGUGUAGCGGUGAAAUGCGUAGAUAUCAGGAGGAACACCGGUGGCGAAGGCGGGUCUCUGGGCCGAUAUUGACGCUGAGGAGCGAAAGCGUGGGGAGCGAACAGG